rnacentral:pre_miRNA from 1 species
GUCAGCAGUGCCUUAGCAGCACGUAAAUAUUGGCGUUAAGAUUCUGAGAUUAUCUCCAGUAUUGACUGUGCUGCUGAAGUAAGGUUGAC